rnacentral:lncRNA from 1 species
CGGAUGUGCAAUCUGAUUGGCUAGAUACAUAUUUUAAAAUACAGUGCGCGAGUUUUCGCCUUUGAGUGUUGUGGUUGUCAUUUGACUUUUUUACCUUUUAAGAUAAAUGUUAUAUGUAAUAUUUUAGAAACUCGUUAGAACUGUAGUAUAAGACGAGGAUAAGAGGAUAAAUUGUCGGUUUAACGUGAUAUGAAAAUGAAGUGCUUAAAGGUUGACGAAUACAUCAAACGGACAGCGUGUCCAAAAGAGACAAGAGUUCUACAUGAAGAAUUAGAGACUUACAUGAGAAAUGGACCAGGGCCACAAGGUCGAACAUUGUAUGACCGAGUUGUCAGGGCCUGUAAUCACCAACUUGGAGUUGGGCCCCUGGACAGUGACCAUAUUGCUGGACUCAUAAAGCUGGUGGAGCUUGCACUCAGAGGGUAUGACAUCUCAGGGGAGCUCGGUGUGCAAAGCACCCCUUUGUAUAUGGAGAAAAUCACCUUUCACGUACUCAAGAAACUGGCCUCCUUGGGAGUGUACCAUCCAUGUAGCUACUUGGGAAGCCUACUCUACCAGAGGUUGGCUCCAGCUCCACAGGUAAAGGAUGGAUGAUAGAGUAUUAGUACAGUACUUCCUAUUAUAGUAACUGUAGUCAGCUGUUUUUACAUCAUCUUUGAUUGUGUCUUCUCAAUCUCUUUUUGAAUGUGUCUUCCU